CUAUUGGUGGACUUAAGGAAGGUCUGGAGGCCGACCUAGCUGGCGUGCGCACCGAGGUCGACAGUCUCGCUGCUAGAAUCAAAGUGGCUGAAACUAGAGACGGGAGGAGAGAGCAGGAGCUGUUGGAGACACGGGCCCAAAUGAAAACAAUGUCCGAGCAAAUACAAGGACUCACCUGAGCGGUCACAUCAAUAGAGGCCAGACACUGCAAGAAAAAUGUGGGGAUCCGCAG